rnacentral:rRNA from 1 species
GGGUUGUGAGGUUAAGCGACUAAGCGUACACGGUGGAUGCCCUGGCAGUCAGAGGCGAUGAAGGGCGUGCUAAUCUGCGAUAAGCGCCGGUAAGGUGAUAUGAACCGUUAUAACCGGCGAUACCCGAAUGGGGAAACCCAGUGUGAUUCGUCACACUAUCAUUAACUGAAUUCAUAGGUUAAUGAGGCGAACCGGGGGAACUGAAACAUCUAAGUACCCCGAGGAAAAGAAAUCAACCGAGAUUCCCCCAGUAGCGGCGAGCGAACGGGGAGGAGCCCAGAGCCUGAAUCAGCAUGUGUGUUAGUGGAAGCGUCUGGAAAGUCGCGCGAUACAGGGUGACAGCCCCGUACACAAAAGCGCAUGUGCUGUGAGCUCGAUGAGUAGGGCGGGACACGUGGUAUCCUGUCUGAAUAUGGGGGGACCAUCCUCCAAGGCUAAAUACUCCUGACUGACCGAUAGUGAACCAGUACCGUGAGGGAAAGGCGAAAAGAACCCCGGCGAGGGGAGUGAAACAGAACCUGAAACCGUGUACGUACAAGCAGUGGGAGCACAGGUUUACCUGUGUGACUGCGUACCUUUUGUAUAAUGGGUCAGCGACUUAUAUUCUGUAGCAAGGUUAACCGAAUAGGGGAGCCGGAGGGAAACCGAGUCUUAAUUGGGCGUUAAGUUGCAGGGUAUAGACCCGAAACCCGGUGAUCUAGCCAUGGGCAGGUUGAAGGUUGGGUAACACUAACUGGAGGACCGAACCGACUAAUGUUGAAAAAUUAGCGGAUGACCUGUGGCUGGGGGUGAAAGGCCAAUCAAACCGGGAGAUAGCUGGUUCUCCCCGAAAGCUAUUUAGGUAGCGCCUCGUGAAUUCAUC